GUCUGGACCUGUCUAGCACCCAAAAGAAGGUCCUUAUUCUGCCCCAGAAUCAUCAAAACUCCCACAGCAGCAGGAACCUACAGACAUCUCUGAAUAGCAACACUUCUCCUCUCUGCCCUGUCACCCUGGUGCUGUUUAAGACAGACAUGGCUCCUUCUCUUCCCCCUGGUUCAUCUGUGAUGCCCCACUCAGCAGGUGAUAGGGGCUCCCUUGGCUCUUCAGCUGUGCUGCAUUAACCUGGAUAUGGAAUAGCCCUGCCCAAAAGCCUGAUGCAGCCUGGAGAUGUGCUCCACAUGGGGUACCCUGUAGGGACACAGUGAUGCUCUUAAGGAGGUGAAGCACUGAAGAGACUACCUCCCCCUUGCCCUGUAUGAGCAAUCCAUCCACAGCUCCUCUUUCACCUGCCCAACUCCACCUCUGGUUUGGGUUCUUUUCCCCUACUACAGACACAAGUUUGCUGAUCAUUAUUCUUGGGGGACUCUAGGAGAGCCAAGGAGUCUCUAGGAGACCAUGAGUGUCCUACCACUGGAGCAGGGCAAGGAGACUCAGCUGCAUGAGAAAUGGAGGCUUUCAAGGCCAGGCAAGAGUUGCAUGUGCUGUCAAAGGCUCUAAUUCCACUUCAGUUAUCUAGAAACCAUCUCAGAACAUCUGCCAGUAAGCACCUGCCAGUCCCAAAUACUGCAGAUUAUUAUGCCAUGUUCCUAGAAAAAAACAUAAUGCAUCUGUCACAUGUAUCUCACUAAGCCCUGAAAGAAGUUCACGUGGAGAGUCUAAGGAAGUGAGAAUCUGCAAUGAAAAAUUCUUUGUAUAUGAGGUAAGUGUUCCAGUCUGUACUACAGUGGGCAGUGAGCAGGGACUGACAUCAUGAUCUCACAAGGACUAAGAGCUGGUUGUGAAUUCUUUUUAUAUAAGCUUAACUGUUCACUGAACACUUCCAGAAUGCUAAGGUGUUGACAGCUUCUUGGACAUUAUAAUCCAAAACAAAUGCUUUUUUUUUUUUUGCAAGGCUGUGACAUAAUACAUCAGAUAACACACUAAUGGGUAUCUGGAAUGCACUCAGGAACUGUAACAUGUAGUAUAGGGAAGGGCCUCUAAAAAAACAGGCUCUGUUUUUUAGAUAUAUUUUUAAGACCUAGAAUGCAUACAGCUCUGCAAUUUAAUAUUCCAAGGCUUUGCAGCAUCAGUGGUAGCUCCAAGGAGAGCUCAGUUUUUCUAACUAGACAAAAUCUUUGACAUAAUGAUCAAGCUCAAAAUUUAUCUGAGUUUAGGAGAUGGCAAGAUGUCUGACUUAGGACUGUGCUGAUACUAUUCCUGCUUCAAUUUUUUAAA